rnacentral:rRNA from 1 species
AUUGAACGCUGGCGGCAUGCCUUACACAUGCAAGUCGAACGGUAACGGGCCUUCGGGUGCCGACGAGUGGCGAACGGGUGAGUAAUACAUCGGAACGUGCCCGAUCGUGGGGAUAAAGAGGGGAAAGCUUUGCUAAUACCGCAAACGAACUACGGAUGAAAGCCGGGGAACGCAAGGGCUUGCGCGGACGGGGCGGGCGAUGGCAGAUUAGGUAGUUGGUGGGAUAAAAGCUUACCAAGCCGACGAUCUGUAGCUGGUCUGAGAGGAUGAUCAGCCACACUGGGACUGAGACACGGCCCAGACUCCUACGGGAGGCAGCAGUGGGGAAUUUUGGACAAUGGGCGCAAGCCUGAUCCAGCCAUGCCGCGUGCAGGAUGAAGGCCUUCGGGUUGUAAACUGCUUUUGUACGGAACGAAAAGCCUUCUUUUAAUACAGGAGGGUCAUGACGGUACCGUAAGAAUAAGCACCGGCUAACUACGUG